CCAUAAAACAUGCUUCCUUGUGAGAGGGCAUGGUGUGCUGGUGGAAAGCAGACUGAGGAGGGAAGGACUGUGAGAUGAGGAGCUUGGGGUGGCAGAGGUAAUAAGCAGUAGAUGCUGCAUUUAUAUCUGGUUCCUUGUGUCACCUCCUCUAUGGCCAGGCAGUGCUGAGAUUGACCUACUUUGGAAACCAGCAUGAAAAUCUCUUGCUUGACCACUAUUAUCUCUGAACCCCAUGGGAUGCAGGGACAGGGGCCUUUGGGGUGUCACGUCCUCAUCUCGAUCCUUGGAAUGAGCAGCCAAGGACCAUGUUUAAACCAUCAGGAUUCAGCCAGGGGAGCGAGCUAACAGAUAUGCAGCAUGAAUGACAGAGACCCGGGCCCUGGACAGGACCAGUGAGAUGACCAAACUGCUUGAGAACCAAAGGACAACAAUCAAGUUACUACUGAUUUUAGAAAAGAACCUUGUGAAUUCUGUGGGGACGGUUGUUGGCAUCCCUCGCUGUGUGUGCAUUCCUACAGUGUAUGGAGACCUCCUGAACCAAGGAGUUCUGUUUAUGGUUUUUGAUAUUCACUGACUGUAUGUUCUUAGGUAAGUGGCUUCACCUCUGAGCCUGGGGCUGCCUUCUAAAAUACGUUGUAAGACUAAACCUGUAAAUGUAAUUCCGCAACGAGAACGUGCUUUGAAAUCCAGAGAGGAUAACUGCACUAGUAAGGAAAAGUGUUACAAGGCGUAGGAGACUCAGCUGCUUUCUUUGCUGUAGCCUUCUCCAAGUGAGUUUGAUCCUGGACUGGAACGGGUUUCAGAUUUUGAGGGUAUUUCUACCCCUCCACCCCUACUUCUUUGGUUUUUUUUUUUUUUGUGGUGCAUGGGGUUUGGUUAUUUUUAAAAUCUGCUUUUAUAUCUGAGACCUAGAAUUUAUUAGAUUAUCCAGACAACUUUCCUUUUCUGCAUUCUGUUAAAGAACCUGAGUGUCUUUGGGGCACUGUGACAUGUUGAGUCAAAAAUUACUAUAAUUACCAUGAUCUCUGUGGAAUUUGAAGUGUGCGCAAUUUAUGCCUCUAGGGGCUUGAAUCCUUGGAGAGUCUAUUUUCUGAGACAGCAAGAGCUGCGAAGUAUACAACUCUUGAACUGCACUCAAGAUCAGAGUCUGAUUUGUAUGGUUAAAUUAAAAAAAAAUGCUGAUUUAUACAAUUUGUUCCUGGGUCAUAAUUAUGAUCUAGAAUUAAUUGAAUAGCCUGGAGGUUUCACUACUGUACAUGGCAAUGAUUACUAAAAAUUGAUUCUCUCCUAUAUUUCUUUAUUAACUUAUCUGAAAAUGACAUAUAGUGAAGAACAGCUUUAAAUAUUGCUGUGCUGAGCAACUUUGUAAAUUGCUAUUCAAGCUGUUCAUGUUGGUGGCUUUUUGGUUUUUUUUCUUCCUUCAUUGACUUUUAUAGGUGAUUUAUUAUUCUAUACGUGCCUGAGCUAUACAUUUAACCAGAAACACAGUGAGGGGGAUGUUCAUGUUUCUGACUAAGGACAUUGCUCUAUUCGCCUUCUGGAACAAGAUAUUCAUGCCUUUUAGAAAGACUUUCAGCAUUGUACCCUCCAGGCAUGAGCACCUUGCACCCCCAAGUGACAUGGUUGGGCUGGCUCAGCAUGGACUAGGUGCACACAAAAGUAGCUAAGUUGCAACCUGCUUUUGGCCACUUUGAAGAUGGAAGUUUUGAGAUAUUUGAUCUCUGAAUGAAGUGAGUUUAAUGUAUAACUACAGAAUUUUUUACUUUUUUAACCUUUGUUAGUUUUUAUUAUUUGUUAUUAUUACCUCAGUGGGCUUCUCUGGCUAGGCUCCUAAAUAUGGGGUCUAUUUUUGUCUGGCCCAACCACUCAACAGGCAGUUCUGCAAAUGCAGAGGUAGAGGCACUUACAUGUAAAUUCUCUGGAAGAAGAAAGAAAAUAGCUGUGAGAGUAAGACCAGAUCCUCUGAAGUUAUAGAGCAAACAGUAAAAAUGGAAGUAAU